UACGAAGGGGGCUAGCGUUGCUCGGAAUUACUGGGCGUAAAGGGCGCGUAGGCGGUUCUAUAAGUCAGGCGUGAAAUUCCUGGGCUUAACCUGGGGGCUGCGCUUGAGACUGUGGGACUGAGGUCAGAAGAGGGUCGUGGAAUUCCCAGUGUAGAGGUGAAAUCGUAGAUAUUGGGAAGAACACCGGUGGCGAAGGCGGCGACCUGGUCUGAUACUGACGCUGAGGCGCGACAGCGUGGGGAGCAACAGG
rnacentral:rRNA from 1 species